UCCUUUGAGGCAGACAUUUUCCAGUUAAACUUUAAACUCAAAAGCUUGUCCUAUUUAUCUCCAAAAUGCAGGCUAUGUGUCUCCCUCCUAAUUAGCAUGAAAUUACUUCUUGUUUUUCCUUCAUUAGAAAUUAGGAUUUAUUUUUUUAAAGAUAAAAUUUGUAUUCCUGCUUAAUUUUUAGACUCAUUUGGAAGCAGUGCAUUUUUAUCAGAGGGACUGAAAAGCCUUUCGAGAAUCAGUCAAGAAAAAGGAAUGCGCAUGAGAGUCAUGGUCACAUCAUGUGAUUGUAGGGAAAGCCUAGGCUAUCAUGGAGGGAAGAGAUUGGAUAAAUUAUUUGAAAAGCAAGCCUGUGAAUUGCUGUGGAGGAACAAUAGCCUGUCUCUUAUCUGGAGCCUUUCCAAGGAAAAGCAAAGGGGACCCUAGAAGGCUUCCUGGGAGACAGUUUAAUUCUGAAAACAAAGCAGUACUUCACCUCUUGUGUGUUGGGUAGAGCUGUAAAACAGAACACAGUCAAAAUAGUCAUUAGGGCCACAUCAAUGUCUGCCCAAAGUCAGGCGAGCAUUCCCAGGAAGGUGGGGGGCUGUGGCAGUUGCACACAUGAACCUCCUUUCUCCAUUGUCACACAGCAGAAGAGCGUGUUCCAUUCUACUAAAGUUGGGGCGGGGGGAGUUGAAUAAUUUAUUGACUGAAAACUGGGGGCCUGAGUUAGAUGGUAAAAAAGUUUAGAGUGCUGUUUUUUGUUUUUUAAGUUAUGUUUGUUUUAUAUAUUGAAGUGCUUAAAAUGUACUUUAAAAAUUCAAAACAUCCCAGAAAUUCAGCAACUUGAGGAGACAAUAGUGACGAACAUUUUAUGGCAACAUUUGGACACUUUAAAGAUUAUUUCAGGAACUUUAAUGCUGAUAAAUGAGAGAAGGGACAACUUUUCCUAACUAUAACAUUUUGGCACCUGAGUACAGGGAUCAAAACAAGAGCAAGCAUUUCAAAUUCAUAUUGUGAAGCACCUACAAAAAGAUUAUUCUGUUAGCCUUCAUAAUGUGGAGAGUUCAUCUUUUCAUCUUAUCAAAUAAAAAUAUACCCAAAUUCUUGAACAGGCAUUCAGUUAGGAAAAGAGGGUGGGGUGAUGAAAUGUGUUCUCAUUCAGCAAACACUUUGCAGAUAUUUCUAGUCAAAGAUCCCUGUGGUCUAGGCUAGUGAGAGAAAAACGUGCCCUCUGCCCAGUGACAGUGGCUUCACGGGGAUCAGCUUUCACCAAUGCAGGCAGGGGAACAAAGGGCAGGCUUCAUCUGCCUGCAUCCCACAGGCCCUUGCGCAGGGGAGUUCCAUUUCAGUGCCCAUCACAUGACCUCUCAGGCCAAAACGGUUUUUAAUAAUUCUGAUUUUGAAUAUCAAAUGGAAGUGAAAAGUACAUUUAGGAAGGAAGGGCUCUAUCCUUAUUGAAGAACAUGCUCUAUGCAAACAGGUUGGACAGGCACUAGCUCUUGUAGAGCUAUGGUUCUCAGCUUUGGCAACACACUGGAUCACCUCCUCUAAAAGGUACUGAUGCCUGCUUUCCUCCCUCCUCUGCCCCUAAAGAAAGUAGAAUUUAAUUUUAAGCUCUAGGGUGUGGCCUGGGCAUCAGGACCUUUUUUUUUUUUUUUUUUUUGACAGAGUCUCACUGUGUCACCUAGGCUACAGUGCAGUGUGCAGUCUUGGCUCACUGCAGCCUCGAUCUCCCAGAUUCAAGAGAUCCUCCUGCCUCAGCCCCCUAAGUAGCUAGGAUUACAGGCACGCACCACCACACCAGGCUAAUUUUUGUAUUUUUUGUGGAGACGGUCUUUCACUGUGUUGCCCAAGCUGGUCUUGAACUCCUGAGCUCAGGUGAUCCACCUGCCUCAGCCUCCCAAAGUGCUGGGAUUACAGGCAUAAGCCACAGCCCCUGGCUGGCAUCAGGAUUUUUAAAAGCUCCCCAAGUGCAGUCAAGGUUGAGAACAGCUGCUAUAGUGUGAUUUAAUACAGCAUUCAAAGCCUCUCAUAAUCUAGCCUCAGCCUAAUUUUUCCUUCCAGCACCCCAUCUCAGCCUGUACAUAAGCCACAGAGACAUUCUCACUGUUCUCUGAAUGUACUUGGCUCAUUCAUAUUUCCAGGCUUUCUUGCACACACAUUGUCUGACUCUGGGCACCUAAGGAAAGCUCAGCUCCAAUGUCCUCUCCUCUUCUGUGAAACCUUUCCUGUCAAGCCCACCUUCACUACUAAGUCACUCCUUGCUCCUUGAUCAGAUGGAAGAAUGCUUUGGCAUAUCUCUACUGGAGCCCUUCUCACUUUGCAUUAAAGAUAACUGUAUAUAGGUUAGCCCACUCCUCCUCCCUAAUAGCAUGUGGACCCUUUGUAGUUUCAGCAGUAAGCACAGGGCUUGGUUUCUAUGAAUACUUAUUGAGUGAAUGGAUGAAUGAAUGCCAAUCUUGUACAUUGUUGAUGUUCACCACAUUGAACCCAGUUCUCAAACCAGGAUCACUUGGGAGAUU
rnacentral:lncRNA from 1 species